rnacentral:lncRNA from 1 species
CUUGGUGCAUGUUUUCCAGGCCCAACUCUUGAUCACCAUCAGACUUCUAUUAUUUGCAAUCAGUAACAAAGAUUCAUCCUUGUGUCCAUCAAGCAACAAGGAGAAUCUUUGUCACUUAGUGUAAUUAAUAGCUGCGCUUCGCGUGGGAAGACGAAAGAAGGAUGCCUUUCGCACAUAGACUUGGGUGAAUUCAGAACAGGCUUCACGGAUCCUUGCUGCCUUUUGACCAACUACAAGGCCAGAACUCCAAGAAGUGGGCAGAUGAGUCUCUUUUUCAAUCAUUGCACAGUGUCACCUCCUGUCCUGCCCAGUCUAACAAUCACCAAAAGGCCUCUGAAGUAUUGCCAGUCAAUGUUCAUGGUGCUCUUUGUCCAGUUGGGGAACUCCACCUGACCCGACUACAUUGCAGUAGGCUGCAGCAGUGACAACUUUGGGGGCCAGCCUCCGUGAGUUGGUUCUGAUUUGAGAUAUGUUGCUUCAUGCUGCACCCCCUCCUUUCUGCUCAGCCUUUCCAAGUUCCU